AUAUUAAUAAGUGAUUUUACCAAACAUUACCCAGAGUCCACAAAUGAAACUCAGCUUGAGUCACUCCCAAAAUUUUGUGAACAUAGGAAAAAAGGAAAAUUUUUUUGCAAAUCUAUUUUACUGUUAAAAACAGUGUAUAAUACCUUAUCAGUCUACGAAAUAAUAUAUAUUCACUCAUCAUGUCAAGAAAUAUAAGAAGGGAAAGAAAGACACCGUGGCAUAUGAAACCUUAUAAAUUAUUAUACACCAAAUUUUUCAGAGAUCAAAUUAAGUGUACCUGACAUUGUUGGGGUCAAGACACCAUCUCCGAUAACCAUGCUAGUACCCAAUAGCACAAAGAGCAGCAAUAUAACACGAGAAGAGCGAUGCUUCUCGAAAAAGCUCUUUAUCAACAAGCUUGUCCUUGUAUCCUUACAAGCUGCUUGUGGCUGAGAUGGCAACAAAUGCUCAUGAGUGUUGCGGGAAGCAUUUAGAAGGCCCAUCUUUGCGUUUCGACACAUUAAAGAAUACAAAGCAAAAGUUCCACCUGCAUAAGUUGUCCCAAAUAAAAGGCAUCCUCAACUACAUAUCAAUAAAAUUUUGGUAUUAAAGGUAUGUGUAAUAAUAGAACAUUUCUGUAACUCUUUUGACAGAAGCCAUUUACUUCUGAAAAAACUUGACAAACUCAAAUACAAUGAAGUAUAAUAAUAUAACAAAUUAAAUCGAACCAAAAAAUAUUUACUUACCUUCACCAUUAUCAUCUGCCCCCAAUACAAAAAUGAUGUACUUGCAGAGAGGAAUCAUAGUAAGAGUCCAGAAGACGAGGGAGAGAACUCCCAAAAUCUCCGCGUCCUCCUCAUGGAGGCGCAGCUUUCCCGAGAAGGUACUCUUGUAUACAUAGACCGGCGAAAUGCUCAGGUCACCAUACACAACACCAAAGCUCUGGUAGGCCAAUAGAAGAGUGGUCCUAUAUGUGCUCUGAAGGGUUAUGAAGAAAAUUUACUAUUAGUAUGUAUUAUCUUUUUUUUUUGAGAAAUAGGUAGCGAAGCUACCUGCUUCAUUCAUUAAGCAAAAUGAACUAGGCGUACAUGAUGGAGGCAGCUAAGGCCUCCUGUAGGGACCGGAAGAAAAAACAGAAAGAAGAUAGAACGAAAACAAAAGCAGUAAACAAACACUAAAACCCUGUCACGGGAAAAAACAGGGGACUCCCGUUUCCAAUUCACUUGGCACUGAAAGGAAGAUAUCACAUUUAGAGUGCGUCAGAGUAUAGUGGUCCAAGUGUUGAUUAGUAGUUUGAGGCGUGCAAGGGACCCAGAAAUCGUGGGCGGCAUUCCAUUGAAGAUAGAGUUGUUUCUGUCCGUCCAGAUUACCCACCACGUUGCGGCCAGAAGGAUCAAGCGUUGGUUUCUGGACGUGGCGACAGGUAUUUCAGUACAUUCGGUCCAGAGACCUGUAGCGUCACCAGUGUUGCCAGCAUUUGCAUCCAGUCCUCCCAUACAGAGGAGAAGAUACCGGACGUAAAUACAGCCAUAGAAAAGGUGGUCGCAACUUUCUGCGUGGACUGCGCAGAAAGCACAGUUCUGAUCUACGUGCAUGCCUCGGGCGAGCAGUCUGUCGGCGGUGGGUAGUCUUUUUCUAAGGAGUACCCAAAUGAAAACUUUAAUUUUAAGGGGGAUUUUCAGCUCCCAGAUGUGUCGAUAUGUCGUGACACGAAGUCCGUCGUCCGUGAUGAAACGAUAAAGGGAUUUAACUGUGAAUAGUUGGUUGGAGGUCCAACGCCAUUUGAUCGAGUCCGGCCUGUCAAGAGGGCAAAGGCCUUGGAGCAAGUCCUUAAGCGACGAUACCUGUCUUCGUCUAUCAGCGGACGAAGCAGUCGUGAAUCCCCGACAGAUAAACCGCCAUCUCCACCUACCUUGAUCCCAGCAUUGGGAGAUCCGGACUUCCUUAUUCCUGAUGUUUGAAAAGAUGUCCGGGAAUAGAGUACGGAGAGGGGUUUCUCCAAUCCAGAUAUCGGACCACAUCCUAAUAUUUCUUCCAUCCCCGAGCUCGUAGGCUACACCACAGGAAAACACAUCACGGCAGGAGAGCACGCUCUUCCACCACUGAGAAUACGGGCUGAAGGCCCUGCCCUCUAACAGUGGCUUACGUCUGACGUAGUAGAGGCAUCUAAUCAGUUUACACCAAGUGAGAUCUGGGACGGUAAAGUAACGCCACCACCAUUUGGUUAAGAGUGCCAGGUUCAUAGAUUUUAGGUCUAAGAUUCCAAGACCCCCAUCUCUUAACCAUUUUGGUUAAGAGUGCCAGGUUCAUAGAUAUUAGUAUGUAUUAUCAAAACAGAAAAAGUAUGAAAAUUGAGCAAAAAGCGAAACAUAUGUUCGAUUGAAAGAUAAUACAGAGAAUUACCGAAAAUUAAGCAUACUCAUUGCUUUCUAUGAGAAAGAAACUAAGAAUAAGCAAAAAUUACAUGUGAAUAUAUACAGAUUGAGUAAAAGAACAUGGUCAAAAUUUACAUCCAUCUUUAGAAGGGGGCAAAAAAAAAAAAAAAGAAGAAGAAAAAGAAAGGAGAAUAGUUAAAAAGACAUUAACUGUAGUCAAAAUGAAUGAGGAGUAAAGCAAAACCAUAUUAUAGAUUAAAAAAUAAAACUAUACCAUUGCAUAUGAGGUCUUAAGGGGAAAAGAUAAACCAUUAAACUAAUAACAAUUCAUCUUUUCCUUUCUCUUUUACUCAUCAGCAGAAUCUUAAAAAAAGGAAAAAAAAAAAUCUCACACACUCCUGUAAAAAAUACUGCUAUAAAAAAAAAAUCACUAAAUCACUACGUAGAGCAAACUCUUAAACCAAUCAUCAGAUAAAAUAAUAAUGCACCAAGUAAAUUGUAACAAAGCACUAAAUGUAACAGUAUAAUGCCGCUAAUUUACCACUAAAGUUUGUUAACUCCUAGUUGAAAUGCUCAAUCUAAGACAAAAUAACCACAAUUUAAUCCCCAAAUUUAACAUCAAAUAAAAAAAAAGAGCAAAAAUUACUACUUUAAAACUUUAAAAAAAGGGAGAAAAUUGGAGUGGAGAGAAACACUAACCCACGAACGCCGCUCCGUCGACCGCGACCCCGACUCCAAAUCCAUUCGCUUGGAACCCUAAAAACCCAAAUUUUGUGCGCUCUCUCUCUCUCUCCCCCCUUCGUUUUACGGGAAUGCCGAUGAAAUUGGAUCAAAAAUCGAAACUUUGGGAUCAAAUUGAGAAAUUUUUCGCUGUCGAUCGGAAAAUUCGGUUGAUUAAUUUUGCCCGAAACGGAAAAAAAUCGGAAAAAAUGGCUCGUUUCUUCUCGGGAAGUUUCACAAAUGUAGAGAAGAGAGAGAGAGGUGGCAGUUAAGUGAGAGAUAAAACGUGGGUUUAGAGAGAGAGAGAGAGAGAGAGAGAGAGAGAGAGAGAGAGAGGGCGCCAAAAGGAUUAGUGGUUAAGGACAAGGGAUUUUUUUUUUUUUUCUCACUUUGUAUUUACUUCUAUUUAUAAUCCCUGUGAUUUUGUUUAAGGAUCAGGGGUUGUUUUAUUCCUCUAGCUUGAUAUUCACACACCAUUAGAUUUGUUAUUUGUACAAAAACAUUGCAGCCUAAUUUGGGAAUUUGUUCUUUAAAACUUCAAAAUUUUGAAAAUUAUGACGAAAAUCGUGAGAACUUAAUUACUCGUGAACUUUUUGAGAUCGGAAAAGCAUCGAAUUAAAUGCGGUUGAUAGCUUAUUUUUCAAAAAAGUCUAAAUCUUGCUGAAGCAUGCAGUGCUGUUCGCUGAUCCUGUUUUCAAUAAUGUUAUUAGGAGAAUCACUUUAUUCAAAAUCUUGAGUAGCUUCUUUUUAUAGCAAAAUAAAAAAAUUCAAAUUACAAUAUCUGUUUAUGUGUCUCACUGAAUAACAUUUUUUACUUUUAAUAUGAUAUAUUGUUACUGAAAGCAAAAAAACAAGAAGUUAGGCUAAAGCGGCACUAAAUAGAAACAUUAAUUAUCUUUCCGACGGGGCUUAAGAUUAGGAUGUUUAGAAAGGGUUAGUAGUGAUAUUACAAAGCUCCAAUGAGUAAUGAUAAAAUUAAUCCAACACAUUCGUAACACCUACUAGUACUUUUUUAAAAAUAUUUUAACUCAUAAACCAUUUUUAGAAAAGCUCCAAAUGGCCAAAAGAUACUAACAAAGGACACCAUUCCAAGGAAAUACCUAUUAAUGGCCAGUACUCUUCUGGUAGUACAAGGGCAAGAAAUUUAAAGGCAACUUCAAUGCACUUUAAUUGAGAACACAGUUCCAUACAUGUCCACUCCCAAGUCCCACCACAUACAUAUCUUAUCUUAGCUAGAUCAUAACAAUGACAUACAUAUACACCUUAUUUUAGCUGAAUAAUCCACCACAUAAAGUUUGCUCUUGUUGUUAAUUAUAUUGCUUAAUUAAUGCCUAUGUUCUUAUCUCUUCUUCUAUCUUAAUCAUAGUGAUAAAAGCAGCUUUGUCGAAGAGUAUGCAAAAAAUGGUGGGAAUCUAAGACAUCAUUUGAGAAACCGCGAGCUGUGUGCAUGGCAUUUACCGCAUAUAGAAUGGAAAAUUAGAAGAUGGUUAUCCAUGAUAAGAACCAUUUGAUGUCAUUAUCGAUAUAUCUUGAAGAGGUUGAGAGCCUUAAUCUCACAUCAUCCUGUUGUGUUUACUGUCCUUCUCUUGUGAUUGCAAAAUUUAUUGCGAAGCAUUAGUCGCUUUUGUUCUAUAAGUUGGCUCAAGUAUAUUUUUUUUGAGAAAUAGAUAGCAUGCUAUCUGUUUCGUUUAUUUCAUUUAGAAAUGAAUUUAAUUGGAAAUAUGAAUCAACUAGGAUUCGAACUUAAGACCCCGAGUACCAACCACCAAGUCCUUUGCUACUCGCGCUAAGGAUGGUCGGUGUUGGCCCAAGUAUAUUUGUAACGAAAAAGGUAGAGUUAUCAAAUUCUGUUCAUAAUACCAGAGACCUAAGUUCGAAUCCUAGUUAAUUCACUUUUCCAGCCAAGUUUAUUUCUAAAUGAAAUAAACGAAGUGGAUAGCAUGCUACCUUUCUCUCUCUCUCUCUCAAAAAAAAAAAAAAAAAAAAAAAAAAAAACACUAAUGCAAAUGUGUGCGCAAUUCGCUCUAUUGUAAGAGGCUAUUAUUUUAACUAGAUUCAGCAAAAACAGGGAAAAUUAUUAGAAAUUAAACUGAAAAAAGUUAAUAGUUACGAAGAUUUUCCUAGUGCAUUUAUAUCAGGGAAGAUAUUAGGAAUAAUAAAGUCGCUGCUAGCGGUCGCGAAUGAUGAUACAUCGAACAUGUUCGGUAAUUCUCCUCUUUAAGCUUUCAUUCUUUUCUUUCUUCUCCUAUUUGUAUUUCGCUGUUCUCGCUUUUAAUGCACUAUUCCCUUCUAAAUUUGGGGGCCGAAUUUGGUUGCUUUGUGUCAAUGAAGAGGAUUUCUUUCGAGUAGAGACAAUUCGAAGAAUUCUAACUCAUUAGACCGUAAAGGUGUAUGAAGAAAUUGACAUGAAUCAAACUUCUAUGUGUAGCAGAAGGAAAUUAUAUCUACAUUACUAUUCGAGAAAUGGUGCAUUACUCAUUGCUUCUUUUUCUUUUUCUUUUUCUCCUUUUUUUCUAUUGCAUAAUUGGUUUUGUGACAAGGCACUCUUGAUCAUGACCUUGGCAUGAAUCAACUUAAUAUUGGUUACCAGGCUAUGAUGAUAUUAUAUAUAGGAAAACAAGGCCACUAGGGUUUGGCAUGCAUAAGAUAUAUACCUUCCUCAUUAAAGCUAUCAUUGAAGUAUUGUGAGACUGUGAUUUGGUGCUUCUAAAUGGGAAGAUGUGGCCACUCUCCCAGCUACAAGAGGCUGGCACUGCAACAAAUUUAAGGAGAGAUUGUAGAAUUUGGGGCAUGUCUACAUCUCAGAGUUGAUCUUGGUUUGUGCCUUUAGGUUUGCCUAUUUGGUGUGUGCAUGGUUGUACUAUGCUCAUCAUGCCGGUCUAAGAUCUAACUUAGCUUCUGAAACAGCUUUUCUAUUCAACAAUCGGGGACCUGUGCCAGACACUUGGUCAAUAGAAGCUCUAAACCUAUCGGUUAACUAAGGAUAAAAGAAGUUUAUUAGAUUUUCUUCAAACAACUCUAUUUAAACAAUAAAUAUACGGAUAGUCUAAUUGUUACGAUAGGGAACAACACCGCUUGCUGUUGGUAUUUCAAACUCGGGCCUCAAAAUGAUGCUAACUAAGAACAACCGGACCACCAUUUGCCGAAAUUUUAGAAACAAAAGAGUCCCUUUGAAAACAACAAAGUUUGAUAUUUUCGGGAGUAAUUGCGCAGGUCGAUUGUCGUCGAAGGAUGACAUAUUCUUGCUUGGUUUGGUGGCAAGGCUUCUUGAUCACAAAAUCAAUAGUCAACAAAAUACACAAAAGCCAUAAUUAAUUUACCAUCAACCAUAUAUCCAUCCAAGUCCUUGCAUGUCAUUCCCAAAAUAGAGCUAUAAUAGUUGCACUUUGAUUGCAAUGACUCAAAUAAGAAUGGGGACCUCUCAUUCAAUAACCAAGAGCUAGACAUUAUUUGGCUUUGAGAGGAGGAGUAGAACUUAGCUUUUGUAUGGGAAGGGACCACACUUGGGUUGAUUUGGAGGAGUACCUAGCCUUUGUAUGGGAAGGGACCACACUUUGGGUUGAUUUGUGUGGCUUUGAUGCUAACAAAUUGAGACUUAAGAUUUAGAUUUUGGCAUAAUAUGUGACAGCUAAGGAAUCCUUAGCCACUUGACAUUGAUUGAAGUGGAGACCCAAACAAGUCUUGUAAUUUUCCGGCAAGCAAAGUCGUAACACGAAAAUUUUGGUUUUGUUGCGAGUAGGGGUGGCAACCGAGCGGGUCGGAUUCAAGUUGGAUUGAUAUAAGAAUGUAACAAUAAUGGGCUAGUAAAUUCAGACCCGUUAGAACCUAAUUGUAGUGAAGGAGAAAUCGAUCGGAGUUUACCCAACACAUCUUCAACCAAUUUGAUCCAAAAGAGUACUUUUUGAAGAUUAGACCUGACCCCACAUAACGGGAACAACGGUAUGUUUUGUUAAAUCACUAUAAAUUGUUGACAGAAUUUGUUGUUUUAUUUGCUAAAGAGACAUGACAAUCAUUGAAUAUACCAAAAUCGACCCAAAUUCCUAAUUUUAUUUACUGGAAUAACUCAAAUCAAAACAAUCAAAGUUCUAUACGGUGCCAAUCAAAAUAAAUUAAGUUGGGGAUUCUAUCUUAAACGUGGGGGGUAUGCAUAUAAUUUUUGCCUUUCUACUUCAAAUGCAUUAUAGAGCAUUAAACAUGUAUAAACAUGUACAAUCCUUUUUUUUUUUUUGGAAAAACUUCAAAUACCAUUUUUGUGGUUUCACACUUUUUUAUUUUAAUACCCUAUGAUUUAAAUUGUAUCAAUUUUGUACUCUGUAGUUUCAUUUUUCUCUUUUUAUUAUUUUCUCAAUUAAUUUUUUUUCCGUUAAAUCAGUGACAAAGUUAAAACUAAAAAGUACUAAACUGAAUAUUCGAUAAACCUAAGUGGGGUAUCUGAAGUUUUUUUGUAUAUAAUUUAACGGAAUGUUAAUGGAGGAAUUAACGAAAAAAAAAAAUCACAAAAUACUAAAUUGAUACAUUUUAAGCUAUAUGGUACUAAGGGCCCGUUUGUUUUGGUGUAAGUGGAGUGAUGGAACUCAAGUUCCAUCACUUCUGUUAUUUGUUUUGAUGUAAGUGAAAAAUAUAAUGUAACUCAAGUUACAUUAGAGCUCCACUUCACCUACUCUCGACUUUCUUCUCUAAAGUGCCGAACUCGACUUUCACUACACUCAACCUCCUCUAAAAAAUUUAUUAAACAGUAAAACCUAAACUCUACUUCCUUUAUAAUGGGUUAGAAUUAUCUUAUUUAUAAUAAAUUAGAAUUAUCUUUAAGUAAUAAUAAAAAAAUUAAUUACAUAAUAGAUUAAAUUUUAUAGUGGUAAAUUUACUACUAUAUUUAGGAGAUAAUGAGAUCCACUUACUUACAUCAAAACAAACAACGGAAUUCAAAAAAUUAAUUUUACCAGCACCAAGUUACAUCAAAACAAACAACAGAAGUGAUUGAAUUUAACUUUCAGGCGUACGAGUUACGUCAAAACAAACAAUAAAAAAAUAAUCACACUCCAGAAAAACUCAAACACCACUACACUUGACUUACGUUGAAUCUACAAAUACGUCAAUCCAAACGCCCCCUAAAAUGAGCUAAGUACGAAAGUACAGAAGUGAUAUUUGAAUUUACCUCGCUUAAAAAAAAAAUCAUGAAAGAUUGGUUGACAUGACAUUCGUUCGAGAAUCCUGCCUGAGCAUAUUUAUAGGAUUUGAUUCUCCGGCCAUUUCGGUACUGGUAACAGGAUGAGGUGAGAUUCUAUGACCUUAAAAAUAAUACAGAUAAUAAUAAUAAUAAAAUAAUAAAUAAAAAAAUGUAUGAUCCACUGUGCAUCAAGAUAAGAACACAGCCACAGAUUGAUGGCCCAUGAUUAGUAACUUAGCCCAACAUCCAACACUUACUAAUCACUUAACUUACUUUUUAACUGGCCUUGGUCCACCAACAUAAUCAUGAAAAGCCCUACACAACCAACCUUUGCACACCCAACAUUACAAUUUACCAUGCAAGAUCUUCAACGUGAAUCCUUUUUUCAAAUCCAUUUAUUUAUUUAUUCUUUAUCCAAAAAGUAUUAGUAUUUCUAAUGGUAAGGUGCUCUGUAGCCAUCUUAAGAUCUGACCGAGGUCAUAUUGAUGUUUAUCCAGAGAACUCCGUAUCACAAGUAAUGACUCAUGCAUGCAUGUACUAAUAAAAGUCAAAAGAUAACUAAGCUCAUUCUGAAACUAAGAACAAACAAACAUAUUUAUAUCUAAAUCUUGAAACAUUAAGAAAAAGAAUUAAUGUAUAAAAAAUAAAAUUCUCCAAAUAAAGAGAGACGUGCUUUAGGUUCCCAAAAUAGCAUUCUUAUAUAUUUAGAUAACAUAUUUGUAAAUUUAUAUCAUAUUUUUAGAAUGCAUGUGUCCACUAAUGAAAUAUUUUUGUAUUACGUUCAAAAGUAAUAUAGUUAAUAACAUAAAAAGAUAUAUAUAAUAUCAUAAAAAAAUCUUUAGUAAUUUUUGAAAUAAAAGAAAUUGAAUUACACUAGCAAAUUAAAGUAAAGAAAAAGGCACUGUACAAUCUCAAUGAAACCCCACAGAAUAUUAUUACAACUCGAUGUUGAUGUAAUCAAAAUUAAAAAAAGAUAUAAAAAAAGAGAGAAAAAAAAGAAAAGAAUUUUGAUGUGAUGUAUAAUAAAUCGGGCCAGGGACGGAUUGAUAACUACAAAUGCAUUUCUUCUUCUUCUUUUUUUUUUUUUCCCCCCUCAUUUUUUUUAAAAAAAAAUGGAACUUUCCAGAUGCAUUGUUUUUGGAUAAGACUGUGGUCAGAUCAUCAGAGCACGCAAUUUUUCUUUUUCCGUAGUAGCACUCUUUUAAUUUUAAAUUUAGGGUAGAAUGACGUAAUAAUUCUAACAUCUAUUCUCCUUUUAAAUAAAUACAAUUUUUCUCCUGCAAUAUCUAUUCUCUAAAUUAUUAUUUAUUUUAAUAUUUUAAAUGCUAUUAUUAUUUUUUUGAAAAAAAGAUAGCACGCUAUCCACUUUAUUAUUUAUUAAAAGGAUGAAUUAAGCUACAGGGCUGAGACAAGUAGACAACAUAGGUCUCGAAGGGGCGAAAAAAAAAAAAAAAAAACUACCGACUGCAAGCGUGCCACCGGUUAGCUGAUAGAAAUUGCUCUGAAAGAUUUGUCUGUUGCUUUAUGUUGUAAACUGCAAGAAAGAGGUUCGGUUGGAUCUUUCUAAGGAUCACGUCGUUCUUGACCUCCCAAAUUACUCAUCAGCAGGUUACCAAUUUCGAUAACAUAGCACUCGACGACUGUGUUCCAAUCCUCGUCAUCCAUCUAUUCCAGACCGAGAUCACGAUAUCUCCCUAAUCUCUAGGGUGGGCAUUCCAAGAUCGUCACGAUUAGAAAUCUCGAAAAGACGCAUUGUGUGAAUAAAUGAUAGACAAUUUUUUUUUUCGAACCGCACAACAUGCAGAAUGUGUUGCCAGUCCAACACACAUUCUAUUAUUAUUAUUAUUAUUAUUCAACUAAUCUAAAGAACAGAUGCAGGUUCUAAUAAUUAGUAUCCGAGUGAUAAUGCUUCCAAUACAUAACAGUAUCCUCUUAUUAGAAACAUAAUGUACUUUGGGAACCUGUAUGGAAAUUUCCCAAUGCUCAUCAGCCUAAUCAAGUACCAAACCUUAAAAAAACGCCCGUGAACUUGUACUACACAAACAUCCAAGAUACACUAAAUAGCAUACUAUUUAAUAGUACAUAAAUAUUAUUUAUUAUUAAAUUUUUUAGUAUUGAAUUACUACUAUUUUACUAAUUUUUAUUAAAUCCUACAAAUUUAAUAGUAAAAAAAUUGAUAGUAAAUAUUAUUCUCAUACUAGCUUAAGCAUUCUAAUCCCACUAGAAAAAUGCUAUCCAUAUUAUUCUAAAACAAAAUAUUUAUUUAAAAAAUGUUAGUACUAAAAAAGUAGGAGUGUGAAAAAAAAAAAAAAAUUGUGAGAGAAAAAGAGCUCUUAAAUAAGAUGGGUAUAUACUUAGUUAUAAGAUUUAAAUAUAUGAGUAAUAGCAGUCUACAACCCCUCUCUUUUUUCUUUUUUUUUUUUCCCCCUCGUUGCUUGAGGCCUGCUGUAGUCUCACUCAUGUAAUCUAAUUUAUCAGUCCAAUUAAUAAAAUAAAAAAUAUGCUAUUUUUAUCUCAAAAAAAAUAUAUAUGAGCACAUGAUAUAAUUUUUUUAGAAAAAAUAAUAAAAAUUUAAAUUCUUCAAUGAUAAAAUAUAAAAUAGGGAAAACUUCAAAAAUCCCCCUUGUGGUUUGAAUUUUUUUCACUUUAGUACCCUGUGGUUUAAAAUAUAUCAAGUUAGUACCCUGUGGUUUCUCACUUUAUCACUUUAGUACCCUGUGGUUUAAAGUGUAUCAAGUUAGUACUCUGUGGUUUUGCACUUUAUCACUUUAGUACCCUAUGGUUUUAAUUUUGUAUCAAGUUAGUACCCUGUGGUUUUUUAAAUCACAGAAUACUAAAGUGAUAAAGUGUGAAACCACAGGGUACUAAAGUGAUAAAGUGCAAAACCAUAGGGUACUAACUUGAUACACUUUAAACAACAGGGUACUAAAGUGAUAAAAUGAGAAACCACAGGAUACUAACUUGAUACACUUUAAAUCACAGGGUAUUAAAAUAAAAAAGUGUGAAACCGCAUGAGGGAUUUUUGAAGUUUUUCCUAUAAAAUAUACAUUCUAUAGUAAAAUGGGUAAGUAAUAUCUUUCUAUAUAUAUAUAUAUAUAUAUAAUAUUUAUUUUAGAGUAAUAUAACUUGUACAUGUGACUUCCUUAGGAUUUUGAAUAGUCUUCUAAACUACUUAAAUUGGCUAUAGUAAGUUAAAUGUAUUUGCUGAGUUUAGAAUAGUUCUAACUUAUCAGUGUUUAUUUUAUUUUAGAAAAAAUUUCAAAUACCACUCUUAUGGUUUCGUACUUUCUCAUUUUAGUAUCCUAUGGUUUUAUCUUUUUUUUUUUGUUAACUUCUCCAUAAUUUUUUUCGUUAUAUCAGUAACAAAGAUAAAACUAAAGGAUACUAAAGUGGAUAUUCGACAAACUAUAGGUGGGUAUCUAAAAUUUUUUGUAUAUGAUUUAACAAAAAAUUAAUAAAGAGAAUAAUAAAAAAAAAAUAAAAAAAUAAAAUAUUAAAUUAAUAUAUUUUAAAUUAUUUGAUAUUAAAGUGAGAAAGUAAGAAAAAAUAGUGGUGGUAUUUAAAAUUCACCCUUUGUAUUAUUUUAUUUUAAAUUCCCUCCAAUUUUAACCUCAAGUACACGAGCAACCUACAUGUGAAGUUGUUGGGUAGUUUUACGAAGCAAGCGUCGUGGUCAUGCUCACGCCCUCCCGUCUCCUCCGCGACUCUCCGUCUCCUCCUCCACCAACGACAAAGCCCAGGACAAAUCCCACCCGCAACUCCCACCGAGAACCCCAUCCUCACCUGCCACGUGUCACCCUCCCCCUCCCUAUAAUCAUAAUAAGAGCGAGAGCGGUGAUAACAACGCCGCCGCACGCACGCCGCGGAAGCGCUUCGACCGAGAUGGGAAACGCGCCGGAGGGGGAAACGGAGGGAAGCGGGUUCAAGCUCCGCGGCUUCAGGGGGUUCGUCCGGGCCAACCCCCGGUCCGACCGCUUCCCGGUCCACGGGUUCCACCACGUCGAGUUCUGGACCGGCGACGCCUCCACCGCCGCGGGCCGGUUCGCCUUCGCCCUCGGCAUGCCCCUCUCGGCCCGGUCCGACCUCUCCACCGGCAACCCGGUCCACGCCUCCUACCUCCUCCGCUCCCGCUCCCUCCGCUUCCUCUUCUCCGCCCCCUACGGCCCCGGCCCCGGCGCCGGCGCGGCGAUCCCCUCCUUCGACCCGGAGCGCGCGCGCCGCUUCGUCGCGGCGCACGGCCUCGCCGUGCGCGCCGUGGCGCUCCGCGUCGCGGACGCCGCCGCGGCGUUCCGCGUCAGCGUCGCCCACGGCGCGCGACCGGCGUUCCCGCCCGCCGACCUCGGCGACGGCUUCGCCCUCUCCGAGGUCGAGCUCUACGGCGACGUCGUGCUCCGCUACGUGAGCUUCCCGGCCGACCAAAACCCCGGAGAAGCCCCAGGCUUCCUGCCGGGGUUCGAGGACGCGGCCGCGGCCGCGGCCGCGGGCGAGCCCGGGCGGGGCCCGCUCGACUACGGGCUCCGGCGGCUCGACCACGCGGUGGGGAACGUGCCGGAGCUGGGGCCGGCUGUGGCGUACGUGGCGGGGUUCACGGGGUUCCACGAGUUCGCGGAGUUCGCGGCGGAGGACGUGGGCACGGCCGAGAGCGGGCUCAACUCGGUGGUGCUGGCGAACAACGAGGAGACGGUGCUGGUGCCCAUGAACGAGCCGGUCCACGGCACGAAGCGCCGGAGCCAGAUUCAGACCUACCUGGACCACAACGGCGGGCCCGGGGUGCAGCACCUGGCGCUGGCCAGCGACGACGUGCUCAGAACGCUGAGGGAGAUGCGGGCGCGGUCGGGGGCCGGGGGUUUCGAAUUCAUGCCGCCGCCGCCCCCAAAUUACUACGACGGGGUGCGGCGCAGGGCCGGGGACGUGCUGUCGGACGAGCAGAUUGCGGAGUGCAAGGAAUUGGGGGUGCUGGUGGACAGGGAUGACCAGGGGGUGCUGCUCCAGAUCUUCACCAAGCCCAUCGGGGACAGGUUACCGACAACAUCCUUCUUUGGUCCUGCUAAUGCAUCUGCUUCUGCUUCUGCUUCUGCUUUCAGUUACAGUUACCUCACUCACCUCAAGUAGAGGGCUUUUGCUAAAUUGAGAAUCCUAGUGCUUCCGCUGCCGCGGGAAUCAGAAAUGAGAUUCAAUUCCGAGGCUUAAAAUAGUAGAGAAUUUCGGCCCGACGAUACUACACCAUACAAUGGGGGGACCAAACAGACCCUAAGAUCAGAUCGCUGUGGAAAGUUCCGCUUUUGAGCACACGACCGACCGUAUGCUCAGAUACCACCAAUUACAGGAUUCCCUUGUGGUACCUCAGUAUCAUGCAGUUUAUCCUAGCCUUUGCGCUUUCAUAACACAGAUUAACCCCGAAAUGAAGUGUUUAAUACCAACUUGAAGUAACCAAACAAGCGCCCUAAGAACCAACACAAAUCACCGAAUUCCGUUGUUUAAUUCUCUUGUACAACUCCACGACGACCUAUGAGCAACCCGAAACCUUAAACCUGCUUCUUACGAGGAUUUGUUUGGGAUAGGUCAAGCAUGACACUAGCCUAGUCAGUUUUGUUCGAAUUCCAAUUAGCUACAGGUUAAGUGUGCUUGCAUAAUUGGUUUGGCUUCUAAAAUAGCUUUUUUACUCUAAGUAUUUAUUUGAACAAUCUAUUCAAAUCACAUUUCCGCUACGCUUUUGCUGUGCUUUGGACGAUAUUCAUGUCCGUGCAUGGAUAUAUAUAUAUAUGUAUUUGUUCAUUGGGCGUUUUAGAGAUGCAUACGUUCAACUAGAGUUGCCAUAAUGUAAAGAUAGGUAAAUGCAUCUUAUCUACUUGUCUCAUUGAGUUCAAUAUGUGGAGCUCUAGACAAAUAGUUGCCGAACAAAGAUUGUUUUUUUUUUUAAGAAUACAUGCAGCAUGCUUAGAAAUUUCUGAUGUGAAUUGUGUUUUUUCAGAGUCAAAAACUUGCUCUUUCUACUAUUUUGUCAAGAUAGAUCAAUGACUCUCUCUGAAUUGAUCUCUAAAUCAGGAUUUUAGACCAAAAUGAGUUAUAUCCAAUCUACUCUUCUUCGCUCAAGUUUUGCAGGACAAGCUGAACAAAAGCAUUUGAGAAGUCUAUAGAUCAGGAGUAAAUCCAGUUUAACUUGAGAACCUUUUCUUAUUUUCCGCUGGUUCAAACUAGUGCUGAUGAAAGAACAUAUUCAAAGAUCUUUUCUUGAGCUUGCAUGUUUCUGCAACUUUUGCUGCCUUGUAUUCACAGAGUUUUUCCGUAUGGAUUGUAAGUGUCGCCUUUGUAAUUAAGAAAAGAAAACUAUUUGAUAUAUCAGUGGAAUAGGCAUUGAAGUUCCAUAUAGGUUUGAUUCGUUAAUAUGCCGAUCCGAAGCAGAGUUGCGAGGCCAACUUAGUUCUUGAAUUCCUACUAGCAUUUCAUUUCUCUUAAUAUCCAUAACAACUUGUUAAUCCUGUUGUAAUCACUUUUUGAGUAAUUUUUGUAUGUAGGCCAACAAUAUUCUUGGAGAUCAUUCAGAGGAUUGGGUGCAUGAUGAAGGAUGACGACGGGAGAGAGUAUCAAAAGGGUGGGUGUGGUGGAUUUGGAAAGGGGAACUUCUCUGAGCUUUUCAAGUCCAUCGAGGAGUAUGAGAAGUCACUUGAAUCUAAACAAUCUACAACAGUCCCAGCUUCCUAAUUCCAACAAAAAAUAAAAGAAAGAAGGCUAUUAUUAUUAUCCUGUAAAGAAAAUAACUUAUUUGAGAGAUGCUAUGUAAUGGGGUUCUUUGGAGAACAAUGGCCUCUAUGUUGUACUUUAAGGGUGCGUUUGGUUCGCACUAUCUUUUAAAGAUUCCUAGUAAUCCAAUGAGAAUAAAAAAAUAUGACGGUGUUUGGCAAAACGCACUAAGUAAUCUAGUUGGUAAUAUUGGAUUCACUUGGGAAUAAGAUUCAUCCCAAAGUACUAAUCUCAUUCCCUUGUGGGAGGGUGGGUAUUCUAAUAUUAAUGAAUUGGGGUAAUCAUAACAUGUCUAAUCUCUUUCUUUCUUCCUACCCGCCGGCUAAUUGAUAUUAUUUUUCUUUACACUCCAACCUUAUAUCUCUCUCUAAACUUAUUUUUCUCUCUAAAAUUCAGCUUUUUUUCUCUCUCUAAACUAAGCUUUCUCUCUCUCUCUCUCUCUCUCUUUCUAAAAUUUCAACUCUCUCACUCCCUCUAAUUUCGACUAUAUUUUUCUUUCUAUUUUUUUAAUUAUGCUCUCUCUCUCUAACUUAUACUCUCUCUCCCUUUUUUUAAAAAAGAUGUUGAAACUUUUAGUAACAUUAUCUAAAAUUAAAUUAAUUAAUUAAUUAAUUAAUUGUAUAUUUUUUGUAAUAUUAAAUAACAUGGCUAAUUAAUAUUAUCGUGUGAACCAAACACAGGAAUUUCACAUUCUUAGUAAUAGGAUGAAUAGUAAUAAGAUUCUCGGAUAUCUUUUAUUCCUAGUAAUCUUUCAUAAUGCGAACCAAACGCACCCUAAUGGUGAUGUAAUGUCAUGUUAUGCUUUGAUGUUUAUAAGUGUAGAACAUGGUGCUUUGCACUUCGAUUCGUUAUUAAAGUCGCCUUUCUUGUUGAUGUUUUUUGUUCUUCUUUAUUGCUUAGCUUAGCUUAGCUUAGCUUUAUCUACAGAUAGGGUCGGGGGCGCGAGAAAGUCUCAUGGUUGUGAAAGUAAUCUGAAGGUAAAAUUAAGAGUAAUAUGAUAAUUUGGCAAAAAAGUAGAGAGUAAUAUUUGUUUAUGUACUCUCUUUAUCAUGGUUGAAGGGCAUUAAACCGAACAUAAAUUUCUGUCGCAGUGAGGACUUUUUUGAUGGUUUAUCAAGUUCCCAAUUUUGAGCUUAAUUUCCCCUAAUUUUAAUUAUGACUGUUUUUUCUGAAACAAUUAAAUUAUGCCUUUUCCUUAAGAGAAUAAAAUUAAGACCUUCCCAAUUGAAUCCGAAAAGAUAAAAGGCCAAUCAGAAAACAAAUUCAUAAUAAUUUUCCUUUAAAUUUUACAAACUUGGAACAUCGAUUUGUUGGGGCACUCCUGUUGGAGAGAACCCUCCAAAAAUAGGCGUAUGCUGCUUUGAGUGGCGGGCACACGGUAUUCUUUAGUAAAAGGCGAAAGAAUAGUUCGCUCUGUGCCCACCACGCAGCUGCGUGAAUUCAAACAAUCUAGCGGAUCCCCAUUUUAGAGCCCGGUAGUGGAACGCGUCCUCUCCUCUGAGCGAUGUGGGACUAACAAAAAAUAUAUGUAUUAAAUUGCUUUGUGUUUGGCCCAAUAGAGAGAUGUGUGCGCGUAAUUGGACCCAAUCCAAGCUCAAUCAAACCAGAAACUAGUCUAAGGUUUAGUUUGGUAUUGAGGCAUCUCUAACGCUAUUAGAUAAAAUGGAGUUGGAGUAAAAAUAUAUAGGAAUAUGUUUCUGCGUUUUCCAGUGGGACUCAUCGCGAUAUAUAGAACAUAAUAUUAGGUAUGAAAAUAAAUAUCAUAUUUUCUUGUUGUACUUUCUCAUCGCACAUAACGUAAUCUUCCUGCAAUUCUAAACAAAGCCUAAGUUACAAGAAAUAGGUGAAAAGUUGGGUUGGAUCAUUUGUUAGGGUCGAAUGUGUUGAUGGUUUGCAAGGUAUAUUUGGGUUACCCCUCAACCCGAAAAUUUAAGGUGCCCUAACGGGUCAUCCGCAACUCAUAAACACCCGAUUUGAGGUGACCCGUCCAUGUUGGGUUCGGGUCAACCUGCCCGCCAUCAGAAUCGGGUUAGAUCAAAGUUCGAGUUGUCCUGCGUGAUGUUAUUGUCUCAGGUCAAUCCAACCGGAACCUGAACCAAGCAGGCCCGGCCCAUUGCCGCCUCCUAUAUGCAUCUCAUUACCUAUCCUUUCGUCAACUCUCUUCUCUCUUAAUCAAAACCCUCGCUCAAAAAAUCUAAAUUCUCAUUUCGAUUUUCAUUCCAAUAAUGAACCAAACAUUUUUACAUAAUUCGUCACUCUAUUUUUUAUUACAAAAUAAUUCAAUUUUAUUUUUUAUUUCUAUUUCAAUCAUGAACAAGCAUGCUUAAAAAGUGCUGUGGAGAGUCAUAAGAAAAUUGGAAAACUACAAAUGAAAGGAAAACAAAUUCUGCACGAAAUUUCACUUCGUCUUACAUUCAGAUUAACUGAAUUAGUUGCAAAAAUUCUCAAUCAUCUCAUUCGCUAGAAAACAAAUCAUGGGAGAGUGUACACAAAAACUACAAGGCUACAAAACAAGCUCAGUAUUACACACCUUUCAUGAGUUACAUUAUCUUCUAUCCAUGUGCCUUCUUUGCCUGUAGGACUUGUCAUCAACAUCUCUACUUCUCCUUUCAUGGUGGUACCCAUCAUCUCUCUUAUACUUAUCGCCAUCCCCGCUUCUCUUUCUAUAGUCGCCCUCGUCUCUCCUGUGCCGGUCACUCUUUCUAUGAUCUCCCUCGUCUCUCCUAUGUCGAUCACUGUCUGAUGCAUCCUUCUCACUUCGACUAUUAUCUGAUCUCCUCCUGUAAUCUCUAUCAUCGCCUCUGUCUCUACUACUUUCAUGGUAUCUUCGCCGCUCUCGGUCUUCAUAUUUCUCAUGUUGGCUAUCAUCAUGCCUCCUACUUCCUCGACCCCUCUCAUCAUCUUUAUCACGUUUAUGCUCAUGACCGCCAAGCGAACCUCUCUCUGUUUUUCUCUUCUUCAUUUGAUCUUGUCUUUCGCGUUCUUUGCCAUCGAUGUCAUCCAUGUUAUCCUCGUCGAAUACCAUAUCAUACCUGCAUAAAAAGCCAAAAACGAAGCAUUCAGCAAGAGAGAGAGAGAGAGAGAGAGAGAGGGGGUGGGGGUAGAGAGAGACCUUCGCCGAUCGUCUCCUCCACGCUGAGUGUUGUCAUCUUUGAGAACAUAUUUUGGAACCCCAGAUUUGCUAUCUGGGCCCUGGUCACAGUCCUUGGCAAUGUGAUCAGUUGCCCCACAUUUGAAGCAUCCCUCUGCAAUAUUUCCACAAAAAACGGAAAUGAAAAAGUAUAUAAGACUAUCGUAGUGAAGAGGGCAGACAAGUUAAACUACUUAAACAUGGUUUUCUAUUUAUUAAAGAAACCAGUGCAAUAUCUUAACAUGUUCAUCAUGCUUGCAUCAUAAAAUACCAUAAUCAACUUAAUGCCUUUCAAUUUACCUUUACUUCCAUUGCUUCUUUUGCCGUGUCUAUAUUGGCCCCAAAGUUUCGCAACACUCUGACUGAAAUCUACAUGUAUCCUUCGGUCAUCAAUCAAAGUGUUGUCCAUCUGCAACAAUCGGCAAUCAUUAGUACAGAUUUACAAAAAGCAUGUUCAAUAUAACAAAUUAAAACUUGCCAAAGAUCCUGAGUCUCAAAGUCUAGAUUGCCAAAAUGUUGCCAUAAUUCCUAUAGCAGAUAAUGCAGCUGGAUAUAAAAAAGAACACAAAUGCGAACAAAAACCCUUGUCCAAUUGUUUCAGAGUUGUAUAACUACUACAAUAGUUAUACGACAUAAACUAAAGAUGAUAUCAUGAAUUCAUGUUUGCGUGAACUGCUAAGGAAUCAAUAGCAACAUAUUAUAUGCGACAAACCUUGAAAUAUGCCCGUUCACAGGCCUCCUGUGUCUCAAAUUCUGGAAAAAGUAAAUCAGAAUAUGUGGUUAAUGUGAUGAAAUUAUAUUGGAAACACUCAUAGCUACAUUUAACAAACUAAAAGAACAUCCCGAAAAAAGUGUACAGCCAAAUAGAUAGUUUAUACACUUUCGAUGCCGUAUCACUAAUUAAUGUGGGUGAAAUAUUCAAGAUAUAAUAAAGUGAAGGUAUCAAAAGCCUCUACCCAAACCAGAAGAGAAUCAAACUAACAACAGAGAUAGAAUUUCAAGCACUUCUGAAGAAAAACUCCACGUAAUAGAAAAGGAUUUCAAGAACUUCUGAAUACAAACUGAAGAUAUAGGUAAGUACUCUGAACAUAUCUAUGUGUAUUCAUCUGUAGACUCAUGUUUAUAGAUUUAUGCCUGCCCCUGUUAAUGCCCAUGCUGGCAUACAUGCAUGUGCGCAUGACUGUAUGCACAGAACCUAAAAUUUCAGAGGGAAAGUGAGAAGAAAUUUACCAAUAAAAGCAUAGCAUAAGCUAUCUCCAGUCUUGUAAUCACGAAUUAUUUCAGCUCUGCAAGCACAAAUGCAAAAAUUUCAGGAAAAUAACCCCAGCGAAAAAUAGCAAGAGAACAAAGAAUUUAAGAAUGCAGAAAAUGAUACUCACGAUGUGACAUUUCCAAAACGAGAAAAGAUUGUAUACAAAUCUUCAUCCUGCAGGUGUGUAAGAAAUGAAAAUGGAAGAAAUUCAAAACGAUGUCAUUGAAAGUAUUUGAUUAUACUCAAGUUACAACAGCAACUAAAUAUGCAUGAAUCCUCAAGCUGAAGAGAAAUGUAAACUUCCACAAAAUCAACACUAACUUGUGUAACUGGGUUGAGUUUACAAACAAAUAAGACAUUGUCCGGCGGCUUCAUAUCAGCAUCUGGAAUAUCACCUAUCUGUGCAAAGAAAGUAGAUAGUAUAUGAGUAAAACUAAAUAAAAGAUACAUUAUUGUAGACAUAGAACAAAAGAGCCAGGAAAGCUGUUCUUACACUCUCAAGAAUAGCUGCAUUAGUAUGAGCCUCUUUAGAACGAAGCUUCUCCUCAAGCUCAGUUGCACCUAACGUCUCAUCCAACGGGACCCAGUUAUCCUCUAAUCGCUCUUCUGCUACCUAUACAUUCCAGAAAAGAAAAAUGUGACUCAUCAAAGAAAUGUGUUGACGAAAAAUUUCACACAAGCAUACAAGAAAUGAUUGUAGGAUUUAAUGCAACUUGAUUAUAUAAUCUUAUCCAAAGGCUUAAAGCACAGUGCCAUUUUUAACAGAGGUUUGGAUCAACUAGUCACAAUCAUAGAAGCCAGAGUUUCUCAGAUAAAAAGAAGCAAGUCCUAGUCUGGUAGAAAUAUAUUUCUAAGACAAUAUAACAGCACAUUCACAAGAAGUAAUCAAAAGCAGGAAAUAAUCUCAACUUACCUCAUCACGUGGUUUGCCCUCAGGGGAGUUCUCAGGAAUAAAUUCAGCAAGCUGAGGCGGAUCAUCAAAAGGAUCAUCCAAAAUGUAGGUAUGUUUGAUUCUGUCCAUGGAACAAAUUGGAAGCAAUUAGUAUGAAAUACUAAACACUCAAAGAGGAAAAACAAAAAACAAAAAAUAAAGGGGAAAAGAAGCAAAUAAUAUAAUAUUUUCCGAAGAAACGUUACCGGAUGUCCUUAAAUGGUCUUCCUUUAUCAUCAACGUAGGUAUCAUUUAUCUUUGCCAAGGUUUCCAAGCCUUCUUUUUCUUCAACAGUCCCAAACACCUAUAAUUGUGGAAUAGGGAGUUUGUAUUGCAAGCAAAAUAAACUUUCGAAUUACUUUUUAAAAAAAAAUGAAGAUACAAUAAAAGGACUCACUGUGUGUUUUCCGUCAAGAUAGUCGAGGUCGUCUCUCAGGGUGAAGUAGAACUACCAAAAAAAACAUAUUUGUAACAAAUCCAGGUUAGAUUAAGGUACAACUAGUAUAGUCAGAGAACCAUUGCUAGCGAAAAUGCGACAGACGCAACUCCCUAAACCCAUCAACUACCAACCCUAAGUGAACAGUUUACUAUGUUAAUUUAGGGUUCAUGAGUUUGGUAACUACAGCGCAUAGCAGCAUAUGCUUGCGAAGCAUACAUAGUCGGCGCAGCAUCUCCUGCAAUUUACGCACUUCGCAAAAAGAACAAGUAGCAUCAUCACCUGAGAAGCAUUGCAAUUCUCGCCGGCGCUCGCCAUUGCGACCGUCCCAGUUUUCGAGUGCUUCAACUCGGGACGGAUUUCGUCGUCGAAAAACCGCGCCUGCUCGCCGUACAAGAACCUAAAAGAAAGCAAAAUUCCAGGCCUCAGAUCAUGUUCGGCCACAAAAAUCAUGCUAUAACAAUCAACAUUAGAGCCAACAUGUUCCAAAUCACCACAUAAUAUGCAUACAAAUACAACUGUUUCAACUGGAUUGAGCUAAAAAUUUAUAAUUGGAAAUAGAAAAAUGGAGCAGAAAUUAAGUAAAAAAAAAAAAAAAGGAGCUAACUUGUAGAUUGAAUCGCCACCGGUUCCGGUCCCCGUCGGGUCUCCGGUUUGCGCCAAAAAAUCCUUCUCCACCUUGUGGAAGAGGCAACCAUUAUAAUACUUCAUCCUACACCAAAAACAAAAGGGGAAAAAAUAAAAACUAGAAAAAUAUAUAUGAAUCAAACAAUAACGAGCUUAAGAUUGAGAACAAGCAAUUAAAAGGGGGAAAAAAAAAAGGAUAUAUGUGAGGAUGGAUCAAAAUUACUUGCAGAGCUUGAGGAAGUUUUUGGUUGUGAGAGGGCACCGAUCCGUGUGGAGGUCGACGACGAUGUCGCCCACGCUUGUUACCAUCAACACCGACAUAGCUCUCUCUCUCUCUCUCUCUCUCUCUCUCUCUCUCUCUCUCGCUCUUCACUUCUCUCUCUCUCUCUCGAACGAACGAACGAAAGGGGGAACGAGGGUCGAAGAAACAAAUACAAUUGGGGACGAGCAGUGACUGGGCCGGGCCAAAAUUCACACCCUAUUACAUUUUAAUAGGCCGGGCCCCAAACGGGCCAAAUUUUCACGGGGAAAAUGUACAGAUACCCGCUAAACUAAAGGAUUUUCCAAAAUAACCCACUCAACCUUGUUUUUUUUUUUUGGGUAAAUUUCAAAUACCAUUCCGGUAGUUUUGCACUUUUUCAUUUUAAUACCAUGUAGGUUUAAGUGUAUUAAUUUAGUACUCUGUGGUUUUAUUUUUAUCUUUUCGUCAGGUCCUCCGUUAAUAUUUCGUUAAAUUAUGUACAAAAAAUUUCAAAUAUCCUUCAUAGGUUUAUCGAAUAUUCACUUUAGUAUUUUUUAGUUUUAAUUUUGUCACUGAUUUAAUGAAAAAAAAAUUAGCGGAAGGGAUAAUAAAAAGAAAAAAAUAAAACCGCGAGGUACUGAUUGAUACACUUUAAACCAUAGGAUGCUAAAAUAAAAUAGUACGAAACUACAGGGUGGUUUUUGAAGUUUUUCCUUUUUGUUUGGGCUAAAUUUGAUAACAGUUUUUAUUCAUUUGAUUGAAAAUACUUAAUGAGAGGGAAAAAAAAAUGAUAUUGAAGGGCCCAUAUUAAAAUGGCAUGUUGUAAAUUUUAAAGAUUUAUGGGCCUGAGUACGGCCCAGAGGGAUUGGAUCUGAUUGGGUUGGGCUAUAUUGACUGGUAGUCUGCUUCUAUUGGGGGUAGUCCCUGUACUUUCUCGAUAUCGCAAUUUGCUCCCUAAAUUGUUCAUUUCAAUGCUUUAGCUUUAUAGGAGAAGAGAUUAAAAUCAUUUUCCGAGAAAAAUCAGAUUUGUUUUAUUUUAAGGUUAGGGACAAAAUUUCAAGAUAUAAGUGAAAGUUCAGGGUUAAAUUAUUUAUUUGAAUAGCCUGGGGACUAAGUUGAAAUAUAAGGAAUAAUACCUUUCUUUCCUUUUCAUAGGAAAAAACUGUUGGAUCCACCAACUUAAGUAGCAUGAAAACUAUUUUGAGGCCCUCCACAACAACCCCAAAUCAUUUAUUAAUUUGUUCACACUAGAGAACAGUACUGGUCAUGAGAUCAAAUUGGAAAAUCAUUUUGGUAACUUCAUGCACAUGUUAGGACUAUUUCAACCUUGUUGCGCAGUCGGCCGCGGCGCAUUUUUUAAUAUUUUUUGUACUUUGAUAAGGUUAUCAUUUUGAUAUUUAAGUGUUUUUUAGUUACACAACGACCAUAUCAGAACAAGGACCAAUUCGUACUACCAGGAAUGAAGCUUCAAUUCUUUUUGUAGAGUUAAACAUGACCUUUUCAAGGAUCUAUCAUAUGAUGACCUUCUCGAAGCCUUAUCAUAAAACCAAGUCCAACAUUUCCUCCAUCUUCUUCUAUAUAUACUCAUAACACCCAAGCCUCUUUUCCAUCAUCAAAAACUACAACAUUCACUUAUAAGUUCCAUUUCUUCUGCAGUGGCCUAUAAGCUUUAGGAAACAUAUAUAAAAUGGCAGCUAAAAUCCUCCUCUUUGCUCUUCUUUUAGUCGCUUCUCCGUUUGCAUUCGCUUCCGAUCCUAGUCCUCUCCAAGAUUUUUGUGUCGCCGAUGAGAUGUCUCGUGGUAAGCAAUUUAAUGCAUAGUUCUUCUCGGCCAUUUGAGUCACUAGGAUUAAGUAGUUGCAAUUGGAUCUUUAGCUGGUGCUACCCUGUACAUAUGUAUUUAAUUACUUGCUAGCGUCACACUAACUAUGUGUUUAAUUAUGUUUCUGCAUACAGUGUUUGUUAAUGGGUUCGUGUGCAAAGAUCCAAAACUGGCGAAAACUGAGGAUUUCCUCUUCUCCGGCCUAGACAAGCCCGGAAACACAUCCAACAAGUUCGGAUCGAAAGUGACCUUAAUCGACGCAAGCAAGAUUCCCGGUCUCAACACCCUAGGCGUCGCGAUGGCUCGUCUUGAUGUUGAACCUAACGGCCUCAACCCGCCACACAUUCACCCACGCGCCACCGAGAUCUUGACUGUGAUAGAAGGCUCCCUUUAUGUUGGAUUCGUCACGUCGAACCCUGAGAAUAAGCUCUUUUCUAAGGUCCUUAACAAGGGCGAUGUGUUCGUGUUCCCCAAAGGUUUGAUUCAUUUUGAAUUCAACUAUGGUCCAACCAGGGCAGUCGGCCUCGCUUCCCUGGGUAGCCAGAAUCCGGGUCUCAUUAGGAUUGGCGAAUCGGUCUUCGGUUCAAACCCUUCCAUUUCUGAUGAUAUUCUUGCUAAGGCCUUUCAGGUGGACAAGAAAACCAUAGAUUGGAUUCAGGCUCAGUUCACGUCGACCAAUUGAAACUAAGAUAUAUACUAGAUGUAAUUUACUUUUGAUGUUUUGUUUUUCCAAUUAUCGCAUGUAAUCUGCUUUUGUUAUUAAUGUCUGUGGAUUUAUUCAUUUGACUGUAUUAAUUGGAUUGAAUAAGCAAACAUAUGAGUUAGCAAUAAUAAAAAUACAAAUUUAUUUAUUAAUGACUGGCUCUGGUUCCACAAUUAAUUACCUGUGGCCUCUUCUUUUCUCUGUCUCGAAAAGAAAAAGGUUUUUUUUUUUUUUUUGUUAAAAUCAGAACGACGAAAAAUAAAUCCAGAAAAUAACUUAAUAUAGAAAAAAAAAAUAAAAAAAAGCAUACCGAUAUUUACGUGGUUCGACCAACGGUCUACUGUCCACGGACGAAAACAGAGCAUAUAAUUUAUUAUUAAUAUAGAAAGGCGGAGUACACAGAAAAUCUCUCAAAGAACCUGAACUCUAUUUAGAUCAGAAACGCUGCAAUCCGCAUCCGUACAUGCGACUCCAAAUUAGAUGGCUCGGGGUGAUAUACGGCUCCUUUCAGAACGCAGGGAAUGCCAACAUGCAUGGCUUAAUUAGAGCCGCCGCAACGUGACCACCAGCCCAAAAGAAGCACGGAGGACUUGAACUUAAUUAAGAGCUUAAUUAGGUAUGGCUGCACAAAGAGAUCCCCUUAGCCGUACGGACCACCGAGCAAGGUAGACUUAAUUAAUGCAUGGCUUCUAAUUAGUCACGGCAUUAUUAACUUGGUCGUAGGCUCGUAGCAUGUAUAAAAUACAUGUCUCCUAACUAGAAUCUAAUCCUAAUUCAAUUAAAAUUAUACUUCUAUUUAUAAUCCAUAUAUACCAAAUUAAAUCUAAAUUAUAUCUAUCCUAAUUAGAUUAGGGUUUAAUUUUAAUUUUGAUAACUACAAAUCUAAACCAAAUAUAAUAUUUUUUUUUAAGAUUGCAUUUAGCUUGACAUGUGAGAGCAAAGUUUAGAUAUAAUUUUUCAAAGUAGGUUUAUAAAUGUCCCACCUUCAGAGUCUCAUAUCGUUGGCGCUAAUCAUUAAUCCCAAAAGCUCAAGCAAUUAGAAAUAUAUACCCAAUUCAGUUAAAGCGUACGAAUACAGCGUUUACGGUUUUCGAUUGUGACUCAACCAAAUUAGCUUCAUGCCACUCUCGAUUGUGACUCGACCCAACUAACUUCACGCCACUUUGAACAUGACUUAUCCUCCCACCAUUUCAAACGUGACUCGGCCCAACCUGGUCUCUCGCCACAGGGCAGGAUGCUGGCCCUUGUAAGCCAACAAUUCUCCUUUCAGGACCUGCACAAAUUCGCAACAUGUAGGAAUCAAACUCGUGCCCUCUGGCUUUGAUGUCAUUUGUCGGAUUGUUGACGCUAACCAUUAAUGCCAAAAACUUGAACUGUUAAAAAUACACAAUCAAUUCACUUAAAGCAUACAAAUAUAGCGCCCACGGGUUUCGAUUGUGACUCGGUCCAACCAGCCUCAUGCCAUUUUGAACAUGACUCAUCCCAAUCCAGUCUCUCACCAUUUCAAACGUGAUUCGGCCCUACCUAAUCUUCAGCCACAGAAUAGGAUGCUUACCCCUUUAAUCUAACACAAAGCUCUCUUGCUUUAGCAUCGAGCUACUCAAAAUUAAUUAGUCUUCAAUUAAGUAUAGUAGAUUUGUUAGAAAUAAUUUUUGUUAGUUGUGCCUCAAAAUUUAGUUUUCGAGUUUGAUUUUGUAUCUUUGAUUCGCAAAUAGUUUCGCGCUGCGAUAAAUUUUGAAAAGUGAUCUAUAAAGGGAAAAAUAAAUGUUUGUGGUGCACUACAGGCUCGGAACCCGAUUCCAAAGAAAACUUUCUUUCUUUUUUUUUAUAGGCGAUACAUCGUAUUGUACUUCUAUAAUAUUGUAUUCUCUUUUUCUAUAGUGAAGUUUUCUUCUCCUUAGCUCAUGAUUUUUUUUUCUGCAAAAGGUUUUGCAUGUAAAUUUUUGUGUUUAUUUUAUUUUACUAUUUUUUGAUGAUUUAUUGUUCUUACUCUGUUACCAUAUUUAUCGCUGAUAAAGUGCUCCCAUAUUUAUCGGAUUCCUGUAAAACAAAUACCAACUAUCAAAAUCAAUGAAUCCUAUUUCGAUUCCAUAGUCUAAAGCAGAUGAACCAAAUACUUAAUUUCAAAAGAAAAUACUACUAAACAAGGAAGAGAAAUUGGAGUUAUAAAUGCUAACAAAAAAUUUACAAAUUACAAGGCCUAAAUAAUUUUAUUUAUAAUGCUAUAUAUUUUCAUAUAAUUAAGGUACGUGCAGGAAGAAGUCAUUAUUAAAUAAAAAAAAUAAUCCACUCCACAAUCUAAUAAAAAAGAAGAUGACUAGCUUCCUCUUUUCUGUUUCUUUGCAUCUCUCUUUUCUAAUAGUUUUUUUUUUAUUGCGUUCCUUAAUUUUAUGUUAAUUCCUUAAUUCUUUUUACCACGUUUUAACAAAUAAUUAUUAAGUCCAUGCAACUUACAUAUAUAAGCUAUUAGUUUUAUCAAAGUUUUUAUGUUUUAGCCCCAACAAACAAAGGUUAAUUUCUUUGUCCUGUUUCAUUUCUUAUUUGAUUCAUUCACAAAUACCAUAUAAUCUAUGAGAAUAUAAAAUAAAUUAUAGAUUAAUGUUUCUCAAUAAACAAAAGAAAAAAUAUUUGCAGGCCAUAAAAUACGAAUACGAAGUGCAAGAUAAAUAUUCAUUCAGAUCUAUAGGAUAAUGUUGGUAGUACAAUAUAAAUAUAUAUAAGAAGUCAUAUGUAUCAUGUAAAUUAAAAACACAUAAAUUUAUUAUUGAAAUACAUGCAAACGAAUGCGAAGUGUUUGCUUAUUCAGAACAAGUACAGACCACCAAGUUCCUAGAGCAAAUGGCAAAAGACUUGAUGGUUGGUAUCCGAAGCCCCAAGUUCGAAUUCUAGUUGAUUCACAUUUCCAGCUAAGUUUAUUUUUAUAUGAAAUAAAUGAAGCGGGUAGCGUGCUACCUAUCUCUCAAAAAAAAAAGAGAAGAAGAUUAUAUAUAAAGUAAUGAGUGUCCUUCAAGCUAUAUAGUAGUGUUGUUGAUUGCUCUUGAUCAUUUAGAAUUGGGUCUGGAGCCAAUCUACAAUCUUCUUAUCUAGCUGAAAUGCCUUGGCGAGAAUGUCAUAUGAGAUUGGGGGAUUUGACUUGAAGACUGCAUUAGCUAGCUACAAGAAUGUCCUUUUUUAAAGAUCUUUCUUAGAAUAGAACCAACUUCGCACUUGGAAGGGGCAUAUAUAUGUGUAGACACUAGACAUAUGUUUUUGCAUGGAUGCAUACGUAAAAGCCUUCAAGGGCGCGUUUGGUUCGCAUUAUGAAAGAUUACUAGGAGUAAAAAAAUAUCCGAAAAUUUUAUUCCUAUUCAUCCUAUUACUAAGAAUGUAGUAUUUCGGUAUCUGGUUCGUAUGGUCAUAUUAUUUAGUCAUGUUAUUUAAAAUUACAAAAAAUAUACAAUUAAUUUAUUUAAUUAAUUUUAAAUAAUACUAUAAAAAAUUUUAACAUUUUUUAGAAAAAAGAGAGAGAGAAUAUAUGUUAGAAAGAGAGAGCAUAAUUAAAAAAAAAGGAAGAGAAAUAGAGUCGAGAUUGGAGAGAAUGAGAAUGUUGAGAUUUUAGAAAAAAAGAGGAGAAAUAGCUUAAUUUAGAGAGAGAAAAAGAGUUGAAGUUUAGAGAGAGACAAAAAAGAAGUUUAGAGAGAGAUACGAAGUUAGAGUGUAAAAAAAUAAUACUAAUUAUCCGGCGGGUAGGAAGAAAGAAAAAGAUUAGACAUAUUAUAAUUACUCAAAUCCAUUAAUAUAAAGAUAACCACCAUUCCUCAAAUAAAUGAGAUUAUUAUUUUGAGAUGCAUCUCAUUCCCAAGCAAAUUCAGUAUUACCGACUAGAUUACUUAGUGCGUUUAGCGAAACACCGUUAUAUUUUUUUAUUCCUAUUGAAUUACUAGAAAUCUUAAAAAGAUAGCGCCAACCAAACGCACCCUAAAUGUAAUGAUCCAUCCAUGUUUUCUUUUGCAGGGCUUGCUGUGAUCAUUGUAAUGUUUGUGACUACAUGUCUAAUGUUCCUCGUCAUUGGUCUAUUGUAUGGGCAAUUCUCUUCUUUGGUUCCUUGGAGCUUCUUUAUUUAUCCGCGUGCAUAGCCAAUGUCCACCAUGGGGGUUGGCUCCCCCUUAUAUUAUCUUUAAUCACCUUGCUUACUAUGUCAAUAUGGCACUAUGGCACCACAAGAAAGCAGGCUUUCGAGAUCGAGAACAAAGUCUGCCUUGAACGCUUCAUUAGCCUGACCCCUAAUCCUGGUCUGGUUCGAGUCCCGGGAAUUGGCCUUUGUCUACACCAAUAUCACAACCGGGGUCCCUCCCAUGUCUGCACACUUUGUAACAAACUUCCCUGCUUCCCACCGAAAUUAAAUUGGCCCCUCGUUUACAGUUAUAAGGAGUUGGCAUUUGUACCAGGAUGAAGCAGCUUGCACAUGAAAUUAAAUUGGCCCCUCGUGGCUUUCGAGAUCACGAGCUACCUCAUAUUUUCUUUAAAUGUUGUAUAAUUUAAUUAUAAAAAAAUAAUCUCGAAUCAAGUAACCCUUUUAAAUAUUGUAUAGUUUAAUUACAAAAAUAAUCUCGAAUAGAGUAAUCUUUUUACCUGCUAAAUAUUAAAAUUACAUCUUUAUACUCUAUUAAUCAACGGUUAAAUUUUUUUUUUUUAUUUUUUUAAAAAAUAAAGUACCGAAUCAUUUCUCGUGUUGAUUGCAAAAGAAAAAGCAACAGUUUGAAAGGUACCAAAAAUAGUUUGAUAUAACAAUUCCAGUGUAACAGUAGAAUUGAUCAUGCAUGGCCCAUGCAUCCAACUAAUACCACCUCUUAUCCCUAUAAAUAAUCAUUCCUAUGGCCCUAAAAUCUCAAAUCACAGCAACAAAUUGAUCUCUAGCUCAUAUUCGAUAAGCUUCUUGUUCUAUAUCCAUGGCUUCUCCAUUUCUACUCCUCGCUGUUCUUGCUUUGGCUUUUGCACAAGCUCUUGCUUAUGAUCCUACUCCUCUCCAGGACUUCUGCGUCGCGGAUUUGAAAUCCAAUAGUAUAUUUCUGUUUCUUGUUUAAUUUUUGUUGUGUUCUAUGUUAUGUCAGUUUGAAUAUAUACUGCUGCAAAGUCGGUAUUUGUGUCUGUUUAUCUAAAUACUUAUGUAUUGAUUUUUUAUUUUGAUAUUUGUAGCCCAACACAUAAAAAAUUUAGUAGGAUAAUUUUGAGGGGUCCGCAUACAAAUUUAUGCAUGACUAAACUUCGCUCCUGCAUUGCAUGUAUGCAUGAUUCAGUUUUCAUCAAUGGGUUUCCGUGCAAAAAUCCGAAGACAGUGACGGUGGAGGACUUCUCCUUCUCCGGCCUGAACAUCACCGGAAACACAAAAAACAAGUUCGGGUUCAACGUGACGUUCGUCGACGUCAUGAGGCUCCCGGGGCUCAACACUCUCGGCGUCUCCAUCGGGCGCGCCGACUACGCCCCUUACCGCAUCCUCCCCCUCCACACCCACCCCCGCGCCGCAGAGAUCUUCACUGUCAUCGAGGGAACCCUCCUCGUCGGCUUUGUUACCUCUAACCCUAACAACACGUAUUAUUUUUCUCUAAAAAUUUAAGCCGUCGUAGGACGCAUUCUUUAAAUUUUUCAACAAUAUUCUAUUUUAUUUUAUACUGAAAUAUUACUUUACUAGGUGGAAUCUUUUAAUUUGUUUUUCAUUUUCUAACAAAGAUUAUUAAAUACUUGACAUGCUUCUAUAUAACAAAAUCAAAAGUGCCGGAAAGAUUUAUAUAAUGAAAUUAUUAAUUUCCAUAUGCUCAUUCUUUAUGUUUUGGAGUACAAAAAAAUAUUUUUAAUAGUUACUAAGUUGAUUAUUGUGACGGGAGUGGGCGACAUUCAGGCCAGGGAUCUGGGAAGCGAUGUAAGUCAAGUCUGGGCAGCGUGGAGGAUUACGUCAGGCGGACACACGACGAGAAACUGUCCCUCCGAAUUAGUAGGAUGCUGGUGGUCCGUUUGGAAGGCUAGAAAUGAUACCAUUUUCAGAAGUAUCCAUCCGAAUCCUACGCAAGUAGUUCACAUGUUUAAGCAGCUGAUGAAGGAGUGGGACCUACUUAAUCGAGCAAGGCGGACCUCAGUUUAAGCAGAUCACAUGUUUUUUUUUUUUUUUUUUUUUUUUUUUUUUUGGCUGCCUCACCCCUAUAGCCUAGUUCAUAUUCCCAAUGAAUGAAGCGGGUAGCGUGCUACCUCUUUCUCAAAAAAAAAAAAAAAAAAAAAAGUUACAAAUAACUUUGAUGCCGGUGUGAUAUAAAUGUCUCUUUUUCUGUUAGCUUAAGUUAUUAAAGAAUAUUAUUUUAAUUUUUUUGUUUUUCUACAAUAGGCUCUUCCUCAAGAGCCUCGAUGCUGGUGAUGUUUUCGCAGUCCCCGUUGGCAUGAUCCACUUUGAAUUCAAUGUCGGCAAAGGCCCUGCAGUCGCCAUUGCAGGGUUCAACAGCCAGAACCCAGGGAUCAUUUUCAUCAGGGACGCUGUAUUCAGGUCGAAGCCGCCGAUCCCUGUGGAGGUGCUGGAGAAGUCGUUCCAGGUCGGGAAGGACGUGAUCGAGGAGCUCCUGGCGCAGUUCAAGUAGAAAUGAGAUUCUGAGACCUUAAUAUAUAUGAGGUCUCUGAUUGAUGUUCUUAGUUGUUGGAUUUGUGUACUGUGGUUGUUUUGUUAAAUACAAAAAUGUUUAAACACCGUUCCCUAACAGCUUAAGCUUUUAGAGUACAAUGGUUGUUUUACAUGGUAUCAGAGCAGGAGGUCCUAAGUUCGAGUCACGCCAGACUCCUAACAUAUUAAUUUCCUUCAAUUUAAUUCAAGCCCACGUUAUGGGCCGACUAAAAGUCUCGAGUCCAGACGUGAGGGGGAGUGUUAAAUACAAAAAUGUUUAAACACCGUUCCCUAACAGCUUAAGCUUUUAGAGUACAAUGGUUGUUUUACAUGUUUCGACCUUUGAAUAAAGGUAGCAGGUAUAUAUAUGUAGUAACUGCUACACUUUGCAACCACUGCUCUGGUUUCGUUAUGACUGUGAAAGAUGUAUUGCUUUUGAAUAAUAUUGUUGAUGAUGUGAUCGUUGAAUAAGAUAUAUAUAUUCCUUAAUGAGAUUUCAAAUCCUUAAUUAAAUUAAUUUAAGGGUGCGUUUCUAUCUUUUUUAAAAUUUCUAAUUUUUUUAAAAAAUUUCUAGUAACCCAACAAAAAUAAAAAAAUAUGACGAUAUUUGGCUAAAUGCAUUAAGUAAUCUAAAUGGUAAUACUGGAUUUACUUGGAAAUGAGAUGCAUCCCAAAAUACUAAUCUCAUUCCUUUAAGAGAGAGUGAGUGUUCUUAUAUUGAUAGAUUGGAGUAAUUAUAUUAUGUCUAAUUUUUUUUUAUCUUCCCACCCGCCGGCUAGUUGGUAUUAUUUUUUUUACACUCUAACCUUAUAUCUCUCUCUAAACUUAUCUUUUUCUCUCUCUAAACUAAGCUCUCUCUUCUCCUCUUUUUCUAAAAUCUCAACUCUCUCACUCCCUCUAAUUUUGUUUCUAUUUCUCUUCUUAUUUUUUUAAUUAUGCUCUCUCUCUCUAACAUAUAUUCUUUCUCUCUUUUUUUUUAAAAAAUGUUGAAAUUUUGGUAGCAUUAUCUAAAAUUAAUUAAAAAUAAAUAAAUAAAUUAUAUAUUUUUGUAAACUUAAAUAAAUGACUAAAUGAUAUGACGUGCGAAUCAAACACAUGAAUGCCACAUUCUUAGUAAUAGAAUGAAUAUGAAUAAGAUUCUCGAACAUCUUUUAUUGCUAGUAAUUUUCAUAGUGCGAACCAAACACACUCUAAGCAAGAACUAGCUAUUACAGGAAUAGCUACAAGUAUGGGGAUAAGAAAAAUAGCGUUUAGAUGAAAAUUGGGUUGUUUUCGGGGAUAAUAAAAAUAGCAUUUGGAUAGAUAAUGUGGAAUAAGAAAAAUAGUGGAUAGUUAUAUAUAAAAAAUGAAGGUGUUGGUGGGAAUAGUUAUACCCAGUUAUUAUAGGUAACCAAGAAUUACUAUUCUCGAAUAAAAAAUUAACGUUUGGAUAUAAAGGAGGGGAUAAGAGAUUAUUCCACUUCUUAUCUCCAAUCCAAACGCUACUUUAAAAGUAAAAAAAAUU
rnacentral:lncRNA from 1 species